GUACUAUUUAAAAGCAUAUACACAAAAGGGGGAAUCGUUGAGCUUCUCUCCCCCUUUUUGAAACCCUAAAAUAUUGUAUCUUCUUUCCUCUCAAAUUGUGUGCGAUUUCAGUCGAUUUGAGCCGAACGGUUUCUAUUCAUCAUAUCCUAAUGCUCUAAAUCGAGUUAUUAGAAGCCUUUGCGUUCAUAUUCGGACUAGUGCAUAUGUGGUUUAGAAUCUCCAUUGAUGACAUCUUUGACAUAUUCAAACCCAUGUCAUUGUUUCUACGGUUGUGCGAUGUUUAAGUUGCAGGAUUAUAAAAGGUGUAACCAUUUUUUCUGGUAUGAUGAAGAAAUGUCUCAAAUAGUCAAGAAUGUAAUCUCUUCUCUACAGCAGAAUUUAAUUGAAGAAAAAAUGAAUUGCAAUGAAGUCAAGAAAAAAGAGAAGGAAAUGAAUAUUAAAAUAAAGUUCACGAAGAAGAUGUUGAAAUUUUGUGUCAAUCACUUUUGUAUUACUAAUAUGAUUAGACAUGUGUAAUAUAAUGGAGUAGGUCAUAGUCCUAUGAAAUGCAGUUUGUGCAAUGCAGUUUGUAAAAUUUAUGACAUAUGAGUGAAAUAAUGUAUUAGUAUAUACUCUAAAAUUGUAAAUGCACUUUUGUAUUGCUAUAAAAUUGUAAUAACAUUCUGGAUUUUAAUGGCAUUUCAGUUUUUU